UCGCUCCCCUGGCUUUCGCGCCUCAGCGUCAGUAGUCAGCCCAGCAACCCGCCUUCGCCGCAGGUGUUCCUCUCGAUAUCUACGCAUUUCACCGCUACACCGAGAAUUCCAGUUGCCCCUUCUGCACUCUAGUCGCACAGUAUCAGUUGACCUUUCCGAGUUAAGCCCGGAGAUUUCACAACUGACUUGUGCUGACCGCCUACGCGCCCUUUACGCCCAGUAAAUCCG
rnacentral:rRNA from 1 species